rnacentral:rRNA from 1 species
CCUACGGGAGGCAGCAGUGAGGAAUAUUGGUCAAUGGGCGCAAGCCUGAACCAGCCAAGUCGCGUGAGGGAUGACGGUCCUAUGGAUUGUAAACCUCUUUUGUCGGGGAGCAAGGCCCGCCACGUGUGGCGGGAAGGAUCGUACCCGAAGAAAAAGCAUCGGCUAACUCCGUGCCAGCAGCCGCGGUAAUACGGAGGAGGCGAGCGUUAUCCGGAUUUAUUGGGUUUAAAGGUUGCGUAGGCGGGAGUUUAAGUCAGCGUUCAAAUGUCGGUGCGCAACACCGGCCUGUGGUUGAAACUGGUCGUCUUGAGUGAGCGAGAAGUAUGCGGAAUGCGUGGUGGAGCGGUGAAAUGCAUAGAUAUCACGCAGAACUCCGAUUGCGAAGGCAGCAUACCGGCGCUCAACUGACGCUGAGGCACGAAAGCGUGGGGAUCGAACAGGAUUAGAUACCCCAGUAGUC